GAGGGCGGGUCCCUUGGCAUCGGCUUUGAGGAACAGCCCCCAACCAGUCGGAGUUGCUGGGGUACAGAGCCGUGGUGGUGAGCAUGGGCUCAAGAGUCCCAGGCAUCGGGGUAGGU
rfam:Mesorhizobium loti MAFF303099 DNA, complete genome.